rnacentral:rRNA from 1 species
AGCGAACGCUGGCGGCAGGCUUAACACAUGCAAGUCGAGCGGGCAUCCUUGGGGUUUCAGCGGCGGACGGGUGGGUAACGGGUGGGAACGUGCCCUUCGGUCCGGAAUAACCCAGGGAAACUUGACCUAAAACCGGAUACGUGCGAGAGCAGAAAGGUUUACCUGCCGAAGGAUCGGCCCGCGUCUGAUUAGCUAGUUGGUGAGGUUAUGGCUCACCAAGGCGACGAUCAGUAGCUGGUCUGAGAGGAUGAUCAGCCACACUGGGACUGAGACACGGCCCAGACUCCUACGGGAGGCAGCAGUGGGGAAUAUUGGACAAUGGGGGCAACCCUGAUCCAGCCAUGCCGCGUGAGUGAUGACGGCCUUAGGGUUGUAAAGCUCUUUUCUCCGGGACGAUAAUGACGGUACCGGAGGAAUAAGCCCCGGCUAACUUCGUG